CUCUGCGCAAGGGAUCUUUUGGCUCGCGGGACGACGAAGGGCGCAGCGGAUGGCGUAAAGUGUAGAAGCAGCAGCGAUGACAACACGUGCCUGAAACAGCGAGAGCAUGAACACCCCUUUGAAUUAAGCAUAUGAGUAAAGGGAGGAAAAGAAACUUACAAGGAUUCCUGUAGUAGCGGCGAGCGAAGAAGGAAGAGCCCCGAGUGUAAUCACAUUAGUGAGAUGUCGGCGGUCGCAGCAACGGCGUUGAAUCGCCGGCCAAUGAGGGUGAUAGCCCCGUGCGAGACCGGAUGCGGGAGUAGCAGUGUUUGGUAUUGCACUGUGAACGGGUGGCAGCGCCCAUCCAAGGCUAAAUACGGCGCGAGACCGAUAGCGAAGAAGUAGUGCGAACGAAGAACGAAUAGGCUGAAAAGGUGAAAUUGCGCAGGGAGCCGAGCGACUCGGCCCCGUCUUGAAACACGGACC
rnacentral:rRNA from 1 species